rnacentral:snRNA from 1 species
GUCUCUUCGGAUACAUAUGAUAAAAUUGGAACGAUAUAGAGAAGAUUAGCAUGGCCCCUACGCAAGGAUGACAUGCGCAAAUCGAGAAAUGGUCCAAAAAGAU